GUUGAAGAACGUAGCGAAAUGCGAUAACUAAUGUGAAUUGCAGAAUUCCGUGAAUCAUCGAGUCUUUGAACGCACAUUGAGCCCCCUGGUAUUCCGGGGGGCACGCCUGUCCGAGCGUCAUUACAACCCUCAAGCCCGGCUUGUGUAAUGGGCGGCCGUCUCUCCCCCCGGGGGGAGACGCCCCCGAAACUCAGUGGGGAUGUCGCGAUACCGAAGCCUCAGCUAAUGGGUAAACCACAGCUGCAAUGGCCGCGGCCGGCGUCCGCCUUCCACGGUCCGUCCGCCUAGCGCGGGCGGCCUUCUCAAGGUUGACCUCGGAUCAGGUAGGGAUACCCGCUGAACUUAAGCAUAUCAAUAAGCGGAGGA
rnacentral:misc_RNA from 1 species